AACGAACGCUGGCGGCAUGCCUAACACAUGCAAGUCGAACGAUCCCUUCGGGGAUAGUGGCGCACGGGUGCGUAACGCGUGGGAACCUGCCCUUAGGUUCGGAAUAACUCAGAGAAAUUUGAGCUAAUACCGGAUAAUGUCUUCGGACCAAAGAUUUAUCGCCUUUGGAUGGGCCCGCGUUGGAUUAGCUAGUUGGUGGGGUAAAGGCCUACCAAGGCGACGAUCCAUAGCUGGUCUGAGAGGAUGAUCAGCCACACUGGGACUGAGACACGGCCCAGACUCCUACGGGAGGCGGCAGUGGGGAAUAUUGGACAAUGGGCGAAAGCCUGAUCCAGCAAUGCCGCGUGAGUGAUGAAGGCCUUAGGGUUGUAAAGCUCUUUUACCCGGGAUGAUAAUGACAGUACCGGGAGAAUAAGCCCCGGCUAACUCCGUG
rnacentral:rRNA from 1 species